AUUGAACGCUGGCGGCAGGCCUAACACACGCAAGUCGAGCGGAUGACGGGAGCUUGCUCCUUGAUUCAGCGGCGGACGGGUGAGUAAUGCCUAGGAAUCUGCCUGGUAGUGGGGGACAACGUUUCGAAAGGAACGCUAAUACCGCAUACGCCCUACGGGAGAAAGCAGGGGACCUUCGGGCCUUGCGCUAUCAGAUGAGCCUAGGUCGGAUUAGCUAGUUGGUGGGGUAAUGGCUCACUAAGGCGACGAUCCGUAACUGGUCUGAGAGGAUGAUCAGUCACACUGGAACUGAGACACGGUCCAGACUCCUACGGGAGGCAGCAGUGGGGAAUAUUGGACAAUGGGCGAAAGCCUGAUCCAGCCAUGCCGCGUGUGUGAAGAAGGUCUUCGGAUUGUAAAGCACUUUAAGUUGGGAGGAAGGGCAGUAAGCUAAUACCUUGCUGUUUUGACGGUACCGACAGAAUAAGCACCGGCUAACUCUGUGCCAGCCGCCGCAGUAA
rnacentral:rRNA from 1 species